CAGCCGCCGCGGGAAUACAGAGGGUGCGAGCGUUAAUCGGAUUUACUGGGCGUAAAGCGUGCGUAGGCGGCUUCUUAAGUCGGAUGUGAAAUCCCUGAGCUUAACUUAGGAAUUUCAUUCGAUACUGGGAAGCUAGAGUAUGGGAGAGGAUGGUAGAAUUCCAGGUGUAGCGGUGAAAUGCGUAGAGAUCUGGAGGAAUACCGAUGGCGAAGGCAGCCAUCUGGCCUAAUACUGACGCUGAGGUACGAAAGCAUGGGGAGCAAACAGGAUUAGAUACCCCAGUAGUCCCUGUCUCUUAUAA
rnacentral:rRNA from 1 species